UCUUGUCUGGAAUUCUGGCUCUUCUGGGUAGCUUUGGGGCCAUUGCUUCUCCUUUCUGAGCCUCGGUUUCCUCAGCUGUAAACUGGGGAUAAUGAGCCUCACUUUGCAGGGUGGUCAACAUGACGUAAUAGACUCAUGUCCCUGGCACAUAGUAGGUGCUCAUGUGCUAGUUUCUAUGUUUCCCUCUCAGAAGCCUUGGAAUCCUGAGACACUGUUGACGAUAGUGAUGAAUAUUGCAUGUUGAGUCCUGAAUAUGGAGUAACAAACCACUUUUCAAGAUAUGAGGUUUCAUUAUUGCUAACAAGUCUACGAGUCAGUGAGCUUGUUCUUCUGGAUGUGGAUGGGGUCACUCACGUAUCUGUGAUCAGUUGUGGGUCACGUGCUUUGCUGUUCUGAGCUGAGUCCUCUCAUGUGUUUGGGGCUUGGUUGGCUGCAGGUUGGUCUAGGAUGCUCUCAGCUGGGACAAUCCUCGCAUGUGGUUCCCUCCCUCCAGAAGGCAUUUCAGGCUGUUCACACGGCAGAGGCUGGGUUCCGAGAGGCUGAGAGGAAGCUGCAAUGCCUCUUGAGACCUAGGUUUAGGAUGAUCACUCGUCAUUUUUACCACAUUGGCCAAAGCAAGUCCAAAGGCCAGCCCAGAAUGAAAGGGUGGUGAAAUGGGCUCCUCCUGCUCAUGGAAGUUUCUAGGCACGUUGCAAAGGGUGGUUGUAGGGAGGUGAAGCAUUGGACGUGGGGGUUUUGUGAAGUGCCUGGGACUUUUCCAUACUUGCAAGCUGACAAGUAAGCUCAUUACUGUUUUGUGGAUCCUGCCAGAAGACACGAGACUCCUGAAUCACAGACAAAGGACAGUUUACUCUUACUUUACAACUCAUGGCUCAGCAAGUGGCAUGUGCCUAUUGUUAGUUUGCACUCUUUCUCCAAAUCACAAAAUCCCAUGAGGAUGGCACAGGUGGGCUUCCAUGGAUGCCUGCUCAUGCAGUGGGUUUUAAUGCACAAGAGGAGCACUUGAUUUAGGGACUGUGUGAGUUUCAUAGCAAUUGGAAGCAAGCCUGAUAUUUGCCCAGGGGGAGACAUUUCCUCUUCCCUCCACAUUGUUUGCUGCAAACACAACUCUGAGAAAUGGCCCAGGUAAAGAACAUCAGGGCCUUGUGUUUUUGGCAUACCCAGCAAGAAUGUGCAGGGUGCUCAGGGCCCCUGGAGGACUACCGCUACCAACAUAGGGGACAGUCUCCUAGACAAUUUAUAACAAUAAGAUGAUGAAAGCUAGCAUUUAUUGAGCACAUUCUAUAUGCCAGAGGUUACAUGGCAAUUCCAUGAUGUGUGCUGUCUAAUUUAAUUUUCACGGCCCUGUGAGGUGGAGAUUCUUUUUCCCCAUUGCAGAUGGUGAAACUGAGGCUGAGAGAGGUUAGGGAGUUGCUCGAGUUCACACAGACGGCCAGUGAGCUAACAAGUGGAGCUGGGAUUCCAACCUGGUUUGUCUGACAACAAAGCAUGUUAUCAGACCUGUCACUGAGGAUUUGACAAGUGGAGCCCAGAGGAAGGCAGUGAGCUGGCCAAGGGCACACAGAGUGUAGCAGGCAGAGCCAGGACUGGAACACAGGUCUCCUGACCCCCAGCUGUGGGGUCUUCAUGUCCUCACAGUAACAGUGUCUACUAGCACUCAUGCCUGGUCCUCCAGGGGACAGGUGCCUGGGGCCAAGAGGCCGGGUCAGGGGAGCCCAUCCUGGUGUUGGGUUGGGGCGGGGCUCAGGGGAGGCCCAUCCCAGCCCCACCUCUGCCCCUUCUGUGUCCAGGCCAAGUGGAAGCGCCUGGCCUCAGAGGGAAGUGCCCAUCUGGACAUGUUUGAGCACAUCAGCCUCAUGACCCUCGACAGUCUGCAGAAAUGUGUCUUCAGUUUCGACAGCAACUGCGAGGAGAAGUCUAGUGAAUAUAUUUCUUCCAUCUUGGAGCUCAGUGCCCUUGUGACAAAGCAGAAUGUGCAGAUCUUCCUGUAUGGACUCCCUGUACCACCUCACCCCUGACGGACGGUGCUUCCAUAGGGCCUGUCGCCUGGUGCACGACUUCACAGAUGCCAUCAUCCAGGAGUGGCACUGCACCCUCCCCGAUCAGGGUCUUGAUGACCUCCUCAAGACCAAAGCUAAGGUCAAGACUUUGGACUUCAUCAAUGUGCUCCUGCUGGCCAAGGAUGAAGACGGGAAGGAACUGUCAGAUGAGGACAUCUGAGCUGAAGCUGAAAGCUUUAUGUUUGUGGGUGAGAAUACAGAAGGGGAAGGGGUCUCUCUAUCCCAGGGAUUUGGUUGGUGGACCCGGGACCAGCCCAUAGUCCCACAUCCUCCCUGAGGGCAUUAAUCAGGGUGCUGAAGCCGCCCAGAGACCCAAAGCUGUCUGGCUGCCUCUCAGGACAUGACACCACAGCCAGCGGCCUCUCCUGGGGCCUGUACAACCUUGCGAGGCACCCAGAGCACCAGGAGUGCUGCCGGCAGGAGGUGCGAGAGCUCCUGAGGGACCACGAGCCUAAAGAGAUUGAGUGGUGAGUGCAGGUGCACAUGGUCUGUUCCUGAAACCCUCUCCUUGGCUCUGCUCCCCAGCUGGGAGUGGGAAGGUCUUAUCGUCCAUUCUGUGAUUUUUGCUUAGUGGAAAUAGGAGCAGAGCCCAGAGGUGGGGUCAGGUACCCAACCCGGGUCGUUAAGGACAGGGAAAAGCCUUCUGAGUAGAAGAUCUGGGUGGCUGAGUGAACUAGUGACAAUGUGUGAGGGCAGAUCAUGCCCCUCAGGACAUGUUCAGAGAGUGAACCUCCCUUCUGCUCCCUUACUUUUCUCUCUGAAAUCACAUUCUUUCAAACAUCUGCACCGCCUGGAUGUUUGCUGGGCUCCUAACUCCUAUCAUAUUGUUCAGUCCAGGGUUCACAGGGGACACCUGAGGAUUGAAGUCACUCAACUCUUGUCCAUGAACACCUCCACCUUCAUCCAUCCAGUCCCCUUUUGGCAAACACUGCCACACUGCCUUCCCAUCCCCAAUUCUGUGCCGUCCCCAACUCUUCCCAGCCGUAUCCUGUGUCCUGGAGACCUGGGAAGCACCCAGGCCUGGCCUGUGCCUUCCAGGAGCUCCCAGCCUGGUGGGGGAUCGUCCCAGGUCAGGAAACUCCCAGUCCACAUGGGCAGGGCCUGUGUUCAGAGCAGGA